CUUUGAUUUUUGUGUGCCUUUUUGUGCUUCUUCCAUCACUAUGAAAAAAUUAUUCCCCAGGGCACCUACUGAUUCUCAAAGAAAAAGGAACAUAGAGAACAAAACUGAACCCAAACCAUGACCUGCAGCCAAGCCCAGGCAAGCCUACAUCAGAUCAGACAAACUCCAGUUCUCCUGCAGACACCUACGAGCCCUAUAGCUGUCCUUUGGUGAAGAAUAAAAGACGGACCGACUGCUACCCAUCGCUAAGAGAGUCCUGGGUCCUCAGCUUUCAUUGUUCAGUCAGGAGGCUUCGUGGGCGACCCUGCAGGGCCCCUCUUGCUGGAAACCCUCCGAGCUUCCUGAUUUCCAAUCCUGUAAAAACCUCCUCCCCCAUCACUACCUUUGUCUCUUUGGGGGGUGGAGAGUGGGGGAAAAAAACCUUUUUCACUUGAGCAAAAUAAAAACUACCCAGUAUUUGUUUCUGGAGUGUAAUUAUAAACUUCAUUGUACAUUCUUCCU
rnacentral:lncRNA from 1 species